rnacentral:rRNA from 1 species
AGUGAACGCUGGCGGUAGGCCUAACACAUGCAAGUCGAACGGCAGCACAGUAAGGGCUUGCUCUUACGGGUGGCGAGUGGCGGACGGGUGAGGAAUACAUCGGAAUCUACUUUUUCGUGGGGGAUAACGUAGGGAAACUUACGCUAAUACCGCAUACGACCUACGGGUGAAAGCAGGGGAUCUUCGGACCUUGCGCGAUUGAAUGAGCCGAUGUCGGAUUAGCUAGUUGGCGGGGUAAAGGCCCACCAAGGCGACGAUCCGUAGCUGGUCUGAGAGGAUGAUCAGCCACACUGGAACUGAGACACGGUCCAGACUCCCACGGGAGGCAGCAGUGGGGAAUAUUGGACAAUGGGCGCAAGCCUGAUCCAGCCAUACCGCGUGGGUGAAGAAGGCCUUCGGGUUGUAAAGCCCUUUUGUUGGGAAAGAAAAGCAGCAGGUUAAUACCCCGCUGUUCUGACGGUACCCAAAGAAUAAGCACCGGCUAACUUCGUG